rnacentral:rRNA from 1 species
UGGGGAAUUUUGGACAAUGGGCGCAAGCCUGAUCCAGCCAUGCCGCGUGCAGGAUGAAGGCCUUCGGGUUGUAAACUGCUUUUGUACGGAACGAAAAGACUCCUUCUAAUAAAGGGGGUCCAUGACGGUACCGUAAGAAUAAGCACCGGCUAACUACGUGCCAGCAGCCGCGGUAAUACGUAGGGUGCAAGCGUUAAUCGGAAUUACUGGGCGUAAAGCGUGCGCAGGCGGUUAUGCAAGACAGUGGUGAAAUCCCCGGGCUCAACCUGGGAACUGCCUUUGUGACUGCAUAGCUAGAGUACGGUAGAGGGGGAUAGAAUUCCGCGUGUAGCAGUGAAGUGCGUAGAUAUGCAGAGGAACACCGGUGGCGAAGGCAAUCCCCGGGACCUGUACUGACGCUCAUGCACGAGAGCGUGGGGAGCAAACA